rnacentral:rRNA from 1 species
AUGAAAUACUCCUAUAUUGAUCAAUGCCGUAGCAUGGAAAAUAUGCUCAGUCCAAGAAAAUACUGGUCGGAAGCGAAAAUCAUUUGGAAGCAUAAUAAGAAUAAUAAUGUUUGCUCUUCUUUGUGGAUCAUGCCCACAUCUUUUGCACCAUUCAUAAACAAAAAAUAUCCACUAACCAGACAAACAUUCAUAAUUCAUAUUUCAUACCACAGCCAACACCACACAGACAGUGCUCAACAUGCUACCAAGUAUUCUAUACGGAAAAUCAAUACGGGUUCACAACACCUAAGGGGACCAUAA